rnacentral:lncRNA from 1 species
UGCUUUGCUCCACCUCCACCUGUGACCUGUCAAACAUAUAACAAUCCUCCAUUGUGUUUUCCCCAUAAACGACGGUGUCGCAAAGAGGUAUACACGUCUCAACAAUGUCUGCCAUAUAGCAUUCAUCAUCAACUGGAGGGCUCAUAAGUCCAGAAAAAACAUGCAACCUCAACCUUCGGUUUCCAAAUGUCAUGUCAAGCGUUCCUGUUCUGCAGUCAAUUUGAGCAUUUGCAGUUGCUAAGAACGGUCGACCCAAAAUCACCGUAGGUUGUUUGGUUGGGUCCUUGGCCACAUAAUCAAGUACUAGAAAGUCCACCGGAUAGUAAAAAUCCUCGAUUUUCACUAUCACAUCCGAAACAACUCCACGGGGUAGCUUGGGUGUCAAAUCGGCUAACACCACGGUGGUGUUCGACGAUUGAAGUGGACCAAAUUCAUAUUGGUCAUACAAGCUACCCGAUAGAAUGCUUACGCUAGCUCCAAGAUCUAGAAGUGCCCGGUUGAUUUUAAAAUCGCCUACUUGAAUUGAAAUGAUAGGCGCACCCGGAUCUUGGAGCUUGGGUGGUAGUGCACCCGAAAGAAUCGAACUCACAUUUUCGGUUAAAUCUAAUUUUUUUGGAAAUUUGUGAGUGCAUUUUUGGGUACACAAAUCUUUCAAGUACUUAGCAUACGACGGUACUUGCUUAAUUGCAUCCAAAAGAGGUAAAUUGAUUUUGACUUGUUUGAAAAUUUCCAACAACUCUUCUUGUUGUGGACCUCUUUUAUUUACAACUUUUUUCAUGGGUCCCUUCAAUGCUUCGGGAUAAGGGGCGGUAUUAGCCUCCACACCCUUUUCCUUAGCCUUGGGGACGGGGAUGGUCCCAACGGGUGGGUUGUUUUUCUUUUUCAAGUCAUUUUUAUUUUGACCCGUUUGACCAUCCUCACGCUCAUCUUCACUCGCAUCUUCCACCACCCUUUCAACAAAUUGGGGUGAUGGUGGUUUGACACCAUUAUCUAUGACUCGACCACUACGAUCAGGUUCAAGAGUGAACACUAGUGUAGUUUGCGAACUGAGCGAACUAAUCCUGACCAUACAUGUGUGUAGAUCAAUGGCAAGGAUUUGAUGAUGAAAUACACUAGUGUAUUUUACGAUUUGAUGAUGAAAUCCUAGCCAUCCACGUGUGUAAAUCAAUGGCCAAGAUUUGUUCACUCAGUUCGCAAAUACACUAGCGUUCACUCUAGAACUUCACCCUAUAUAUAUAUAUAGGUUCGGGAUUUAGAGAAAACGGUGGAAAGUGUGAGAACGGUGAGAACGCUUAUGGAUCGUCCGAUCAAAACAAUCUAUGGACUAGAUUUGCGCGGUGGCGUUUUCAUAAAUAACAUCAAUUUUAUUACGUGGACGCGCUUCAUUAAGGGUAAAAGCGUCUUUUGACUACUCAAACAAAACGCCAUGUCAUGAAAAUAAAACGCCAAACAAAAAUCACACACCAUUCUAACUAAAAACGCCAUUAGAUAUAAAACGUCAAACUUAAUUAUAGUAAAAUCCCGCCUAAAAACCCGCCAAAAAAUCCUAUAUAUACAACAACUCAGACAUUCUAUUAAAAACACACACAAAAACCCCAAACGCCAUAUUUAAUAUAUACCAUUCGUCUGAUAAAACGCCAGAAAACCCAAACAUUAAAUAUAUUGUUGUCAAUAAAGUGUAGCUGUAUGGGGUGGACAACAUUGUCAAUUAUCUUUCUUAACUGAGUAUUAACAAUGUUAUCCAUCACCAUACAGCAACACUUUAUUGAUUUUAGCAUGAUCAAAUUUACAGUUUUAAGAUGGUUUAUUUUGUGGCGUUCUUUUUCUCGGUAAAACGCCAAAAAAAAUAACAUUUUGGCUGAAAGGGUGUAAACUCAAUAACAUUUGCUGCAUGAGAUGGACAAAAAUUAUAGAAAAAGAGGCUGAUUUCAGACUUUGGGUUUCCAAACGGCGACAAAAAAAACUACUUUAGAAAACAAAAAUUAAAAAAAAUCAUACGAAAGUCGAAACAGCCAGUGAAGAUGCUUCAAAAGAAGAAACAGACUGGUGACUGUGAAGAUUUGGAAGAUCAAUAUUUAUUUUGUUUAAUUUUCUUUUUCAGCUGAUUGUUAUAUAGAAACAACGCCAUAUCUAAUAAAAACGCCAAAAAGCCAAAUGUCUUACACCUUUGUCGUUUAUCAAACCAUCAUAAAUUUACUUUGGACAAGUAUUAUAAAA